rnacentral:rRNA from 2 species
AAACUUCCCGCUUGCGGGAGGGAGUAAAGUGUCGCACGGGUGAGUAACGCGUGGGUAACCUGCCCUUGAAUCUGGGAUAACUCUGCGAAAGCGGUGCUAAUACCGGAUUAUGGUUUUCGAAGACUUCGGUUUUCGGUAUUAAAGGUGACCUCUUCAUGAAAGUUGCCGUUUAAGGAUGGGCCCGCGUACCAUUAGCUUGUUGGUAGGGUAAUGGCCUACCAAGGCUGCGAUGGUUAGCUGGUCUGAGAGGAUGAUCAGCCACACUGGAACUGAAACACGGUCCAGACUCC